AGAGUUUGAUCAUGGCUCAGGACGAACGCUGGCGGCGCGCCUAAAACAUGCAAGUCGAACGAGAAGCCCGGGCUUGCCCGGGUGGACAGUGGCGAACGGGUGAGUAACACGUGAGGAACCUGCCCCAAAGACCGGGACAACACCGGGAAACCGGUGCUAAUACCGGAUACCUUCACCGGAUCGCAUGUUCUGGUGAAGAAAUGGAUUCCGCUUCGGGAUGGCCUCGCGGCCUAUCAGCUAGUUGGUGAGGUAACGGCUCACCAAGGCGACGACGGGUAGCUGGUCUGAGAGGAUGUCCAGCCACACUGGGACUGAGACACGGCCCAGACUCCUACGGGAGGCAGCAGUUAGGAAUCUUGCGCAAUGGACGAAAGUCUGACGCAGCGACGCCGCGUGCGGGAUGAAGGCCUUCGGGUUGUAAACCGCUUUCAGCAGGGACGAAAUUGACGGUACCUGCAGAAGAAGCCCCGGCCAACUACGUGCCAGCAGCCGCGGUAAUACGUAGGGGGCGAGCGUUGUCCGGAUUUAUUGGGCGUAAAGAGCUCGUAGGCGGUUUGGUAAGUCGGAUGUGAAAUCUCCAGGCUCAACCUGGAGGGGUCAUUCGAUACUGCCAUGACUAGAGUUCGGUAGGGGUGUGUGGAAUUCCCGGUGGAGCGGUGAAAUGCGCAGAUAUCAGGAGGAACACCCGUAGCGAAGGCGGCACACUGGGCCGAUACUGACGCUGAGGAGCGAAAGCGUGGGGAGCGAACAGGAUUAGAUACCCUAGUAGUCC
rnacentral:rRNA from 1 species